UCAUGGAUGGAGCCGAGCAGCCACCAUGCCACCCCAAGGUUGACCGUGCCGGCCACAAUUGUGCCAAUAAACUGAGUAAAAACAGUACCCUCAAGGUUAGUAAAAUAUGUCGUCUUGCAUGCUAACAUGGUUGUCAACAAAUCCUUAUGAGUGAGUUGGGACUUCUGUUUAUACCUGAACUAGGAACAUGGAUUUUGGGGGAAUCUUCAUAUAGUGGCCAAGUUUGAAGUCUGAGAGGAAGGCAAUAGCCUGAGACAUGCUCAUGUAGCCAUACACCUUGAAACAGACGUUGGCGAUGGGAUGACCAGGGAUUAUCAACCCAAUGGCAUACUCCGUGAUGACGUUCAGACCAGGUGUCUGUAGAUGACAUUUUAAAUCAUUUUCAGAUUUUGUUACUUAAGCUAUUAAAAUGCAGUAGAGUGCACUGACAGUUCUGUUCUAGUGAAAUGCCUCAAAUUCUAACAUAGCUUGCCUGGUUGGUUGUCGCAGAGAUGAUGCUGAUGGGUAGGGUGAAGAUGAAGGCCAUGCCACAGGCAAAUAGUAGACCCCACCAUGGAAGCUGGACCUCAUGCUUCAGGACAGUGCAGAGGAUAAGUGCCACUGUCAUCGAAAGCGCCAUCAGUGAGUAGAACCACCACACUGGUAUGUCAUCGUACUUCUUCAUCAGCCUAGUGUGGAUAUCAGGCUUCUCCUUCUGCGAAGCUCGAAAACGGUGAUAGAUUUCCCUGCACAUUUGUUUGUCCGGUUCAGAUACAGAAGAUGUACCGUGUGAUUGUUUCAUGUAUUUAUGUACUGAUCAGAGAAUAUCUUACUUUCCAUAGAAGAGGCCGACGUGGGUGACAGUGGAGGCAAUGGUGGCAAAACUUAGACCAUAAGCGAGCGCGAAGAACACACUGAGGUUGAUCCUGCCAAGCUUAUUGUAAGCAUCGAUAUCAAGCUCAAACUUGUCGUUCACGAUGGCUGUGAUAUCGUAGCUCGUGCCAUUGGACAUGAAUAGGUGCGAGGAGAAGAUGGGGAAUGUCUUGGCAUUGUACAGGUCGAAACCCCAGUAUGCUAUGGGAACGAGCACAUAGAGGAAGAGCACGAAGCCGACGAA
rnacentral:lncRNA from 1 species